ACACUCUCUUUUCAGCCUACAAGACAGGAGCACUGUAUUAGAAGCAAUGCAGUGUCAAGUACAGACUCUGACACGUGGAUGAAAUUUCAUUCUAAAGGC